rnacentral:sRNA from 1 species
GCCGGGCGUGGUGGCGCAUGCCUGUAAUCCCAGCUACUUGGGAGGCUGAGGCAGGAGAAUCGCUUGAACCUGGGAGGUGGAGGUUGCGGUGAGCUGAGAUCACGCCAUUGCACUCCAGCCUGGGUGACAGAGUGAGACUCCGUCUCAA